CCUACGGGAGGCAGCAGUGAGGAAUAUUGGUCAAUGGGCGGGAGCCUGAACCAGCCAAGCCGCGUGAGGGAAGAAGGUACAGCGUAUCGUAAACCUCUUUUGUCAGGGAACAAAGGCGGGGACUAGUCCCCGGCUGAGGGUACCUGAAGAACAAGCAUCGGCUAACUCCGUGCCAGCAGCGGCGGUAAUACGGAGGAUGCGAGCGUUAUCCGGAUUUAUUGGGUUUAAAGGGUGCGCAGGCGGCCUGGUAAGUCAGCGGUAAAAGCCCGGGGCUCAACCCCGGCGAGCCGUUGAAACUGGCGGGCUGGAGUUGGAGAGAAGUACGCGGAAUGCGCGGUGUAGCGGUGAAAUGCUUAGAUAUCGCGCAGAACCCCGAUUGCGAAGGCAGCGUACCGGCUCCACACUGACGCUGAGGCACGAAAGCGUAGGUAUCGAACAGGAUUAGAUACCCUAGUAGUC
rnacentral:rRNA from 1 species